ACGCUGGCGGCAGGCCUAACACAUGCAAGUCGAGCGGUAGAGAGAAGCUUGCUUCUCUUGAGAGCGGCGGACGGGUGAGUAGUGCCUAGGAAUCUGCCUGGUAGUGGGGGAUAACGUUCGGAAACGGACGCUAAUACCGCAUACGUCCUACGGGAGAGAGCAGGGGACCUUCGGGCCUUGCGCUAUCAGAUGAGCCUAGGUCGGAUUAGCUAGUUGGUGAGGUAAUGGCUCACCAAGGCGACGAUCCGUAACUGGUCUGAGAGGAUGAUCAGUCACACUGGAACUGAGACACGGUCCAGACUCCUACGGGAGGCAGCAGUGGGGAAUAUUGGACAAUGGGCGAAAGCCUGAUCCAGCCAUGCCGCGUGUGUGAAGAAGGUCUUCGGAUUGUAAAGCACUUUAAGUUGGGAGGAAGGGCAUUAACCUAAUACGUUAGUGUUUUGACGUUACCGACAGAAUAAGCACCGGCUAACUCUGUGCCAGCAGCCGCGGUAAUACAGAGGGUGCAAGCGUUAAUCGGAAUUACUGGGCGUAAAGCGCGCGUAGGUGGUUUGUUAAGUUGGAUGUGAAAUCCCCGGGCUCAACCUGGGAACUGCAUUCAAAACUGACUGACUAGAGUAUGGUAGAGGGUGGUGGAAUUUCCUGUGUAGCGGUGAAAUGCGUAGAUAUAGGAAGGAACACCAGUGGCGAAGGCGACCACCUGGACUAAUACUGACACUGAGGUGCGAAAGCGUGGGGAGCAAAC
rnacentral:rRNA from 1 species